rnacentral:rRNA from 1 species
UACGGGAGGCAGCGGUGGGGAAUAUUGCACAAUGGGCGCAAGCCUGAUGCAGCCAUGCCGCGUGUAUGAAGAAGGCCUUCGGGUUGUAAAGUACUUUCAGUCGUGAGGAAGGUGUUAAGGUUAAUAACCUUAGCAAUUGACGUUAGCGACAGAAGAAGCACCGGCUAACUCCGUGCCAGCAGCCGCGGUAAUACGGAGGGUGCGAGCGUUAAUCGGAAUUACUGGGCGUAAAGGGCACGCAGGCGGUUAAUUAAGUUGGAUGUGAAAUCCCCGGGCUUAACCUGGGAAUGGCAUUCAAGACUGGUUAGCUAGAGUCUUGUAGAGGGGGUUAGAAUUCCAUGUGUAGCGGUGAAAUGCGUAGAGAUGUGGAGGAAUACCGGUGGCGAAGGCGGCCCCUGGACAAAGGACUGACGCUCAUGUGCGAAAGCGUGGGGAGCAAAC